UCUGUUGGUAAAAGUACGUUGUCUGUUGGUAAAAGUACAUUGUUCGUUUCACUUUUGUAUUUCUUACGCCGUAAAUGUUGAAAUAUGUAUCUGUAGCCUAUAGCUCUUAAAGCCAGGCCCUGGUGAUAAAAAUGUGGUUACGCCCUCUCCUCUCCCAACCCCCGUGAAUAUUCAAAAAUCUGUAUCUCAUUAACCGCUUCGGAGUUAUUCGCCAAAUAUGGUUUUUGUGUUUUAGAAAAAUCCACAUGUCAAAGGAAAAUUUUUCCUGCGGAGCCUGGCCUUAAAAAAUGUCACCAUAUAGGGUCGUGCCUCUAGAGUGGUAGGGAAACUAUAGGUCGCGACCUAAGGAAGACAUUUUUGUUGGGUCGUGUCAUUAUUUACAAAAAAAUAAAAAAUAAAAUCCGGAGUCAAUUUUAGAGGGUCUCUUUAUCGAUAUGCCUGAUCGCAAUAUAAAGCAUGUUUAGAGUCUAUGCACCUUAUUAUUAUUUUAAAAAAUUCAAGUCACAUUAACAUUUUACCAUAGGCCUAACCUUAAUGUUUGAUAACUAUAUUCGCCAUGCCGUUGUAUGUUUAUGGCCAGCAAACGGUACCUCGUAUCUCAUGGAUUUUAUGGUUUGGGAUAGUCCAAACAAACAUUAACAAUUAACAAAAUUAACAAUCACAAUAAUUUUGUUUGGAUCGGCAAAAUAAUAUUUUUAUUCCUCAUUAAUUAACAAGAACAGUUUAAAGUUGCCGUACUGAAUAUCAUGUUUUCUUCUAUUAUCAGAAUAAACAUGUCUUAUAACAAGGAUAUAUUUUCACUAAUAUUACGAACUUAUUGGGGUAUAUUGAUAAUAAGUUAAGGAAUAAAACGUUUUCUCAAUUCAUCUUCUACAUUAUCAUAUGAACAUAAAUAAAUUAUUAUAAGACCCAUCGACAUGACGAGCUAUCUUCACAAUAAAUAGACAGUUUGGGGAUCCAGCAAAUGAAAAUGUAAUAUUAAUUUUGCAUGUCAUGGAUGAAACUAUGUAUGUUUAAAAUGUUUAUAAAUAUGUCUUGAUGUGAAAACGAAUUGAAAUGCAAAGUCAUUCCAGCGAGUGUUCAGUAAUGAUUUAAACUGGUUCAAACUACUACGUUAACAACCUCAUGCGGAAGACUAUUCUAUGGAUCUACACUGUCUACAUCCAAAUGAAAAUGUUCUUACAUCCAACCGAGAUCUACUUUUGUAUAAUUUAAAGUCAUGACCUCUAGUCAUAUUAUGUUUAAAUUGGAAAACAUAUACUCAACAUUUACAUUACUAAAUUCGCGUGUACACUAAAAACGGUAGGCCUAUCAAUUACCUUAAACGUAGGCUAUCAACAAGAAGCAGGAAUUCACAAGUUAUUGAAAAGUGGUACCAAAAGACAGGUAUUUUAGAUUAGACAGGGGCUAUUGUUAAUUUGACAGUUACAUCUUUCGUAAACAAACUCCUAAUUUUGAUUGGAUGUUAUUGUUUUAAUCCAACCAUGCAUGGAAUAGCAUCCAACCAGAGUUAAGCUUCCUAUUUCAAAUACACCGGUAUAAAUAUUGCUGUUUCUUGGUCCGUUUCGUCUAUUCUUCUAGUGUGAGCAGCGGAGGAGGGUGUGAACGGAGAGAGAUACAGUGGGUGAGUGCCACAGUAAGCUUUAAUAAGGUUAAUGUUAAUAAAUACAAUAAUAUACUGUUAGAAGUUACUCUGACGGAGGUCAGAGGACAGGUCGAUAAUUGCUAGGCCUACGGUUGGAUUAGUCCUUAUAGCGACAGGCUAUACAGUAUCAUUUUGGGUAAAUUAAUGGGAUUAGAAAGAGGCAGGCUUAUAGAUUAGGCCUACUUUUCUACCACAUACCAUCCAUCCAUGUAUGGAAUCAAUUUUUCAAAGUUAUUCCUGCAGUUACUAAAGUUGCUCGUUUUGUAUUGCAGGUUUUGCAAGUGGAUGUCAUUUAAACUGGCUUUCAUGGGCACAAAAACAAAAAACAAAAAACACACAAAUUGUUGCGUCAGUCUGGCAAUUUCUGGCGCCAACACUGGUUAUAGGCCUGUUGUUUUUGAUUACAUCAACUGGAGUAUUUCGACGUUUGCACCUUUUUAUCCUCUUUGACGUGUUGAUUUGAUGAACGCCAUCGCGUCUUCGAGCAUCCAAGCAUCAAUCAUAAAAUAAUAAUGUUGUUGUCCACAGACAGUAUCAAUGCGACAAAUACCUUGUGUAUUGCAGAAAAAAAAUCUAGAUUUUGAUAAUGCGUGUGAAUUUCCGAAUCACAUCAGUUUGCUACGUAGACUCGUGCAUCUUCUCCUGAUAGAGAACUGUCAACAUAAAAUGAGGACGAUAACUAACGAUAAUGCGGAUAACGAGGAUGAUGUUGAUGUCAUGAUGGCGAUAGAAAUCAUGUUGGUGAUUAAUAGUAAUUGUAUGGUGAUGGAAAGUUACGAUAUUAUGAAAUGCUA